rnacentral:rRNA from 1 species
CCUACGGGAGGCAGCAGUGGGGAAUAUUGGGCAAUGGGCGCAAGCCUGACCCAGCAACGCCGCGUGAAGGAAGAAGGCUUUCGGGUUGUAAACUUCUUUUGUCAGGGACGAAGCAAGUGACGGUACCUGACGAAUAAGCCACGGCUAACGACGUGCCAGCAGCCGCAGUAAUACGUAGGUGGCAAGCGUUAUCCGGAUGUAUUGGGUUUAAAGGGCGUGUAGGCGGGAAUGCAAGUCAGAUGUGAAAACUAUGGGCUCAACCCCUAUCCUGCAUUUGAAACUGUAUUUCUUGAGUGCUGGAGAGGCAAUCGGAAUUCCGGGUGUAGCGGGGAAAUGCGUAGAUAUAAGGAGGAACACCAGUGGCGAAGGCGGAUUGCUGGACAGUAACUGACGCUGAGGCGCGAAAGCGUGGGGAGCAAACAGGAUUAGAUACCCUUGUAGUC